rnacentral:rRNA from 1 species
CACGCCGUAAACGAUGGAUGCUAGCCGUUGGACAGCUUGCUGUUCAGUGGCGCAGCUAACGCUUUAAGCAUCCCGCCUGGGGAGUACGGUCGCAAGAUUAAAACUCAAAGGAAUUGACGG